rnacentral:rRNA from 1 species
UACGAAGGGGGCUAGCGUUGCUCGGAUUGACUGGGCGUAAAGGGCACGUAGGCGGUUCGUACAGUCAGACGUGAAAUUCCUGGGCUCAACCUGGGGGCUGCGUUUGAUACGUGCGGACUUGAGUGCGGAAGAGGGUCGUGGAAUUCCCAGUGUAGAGGUGAAAUUCGUAGAUAUCAAGCGGAACACCGGUGGCGAAGGCGGCCUUCUGGACAGUGACUGACGCUGAGACGCGAAAGCGUGGGGAGCGAACAGG